GAUGAACGCUGGCGGCGUGCCUAAUACAUGCAAGUCGAACGAACAGGCGAGAGGUUUCUUCCUCGGACGUUAGCGGCGGGCGGGUGAGUAACGCGUGGAUACCCUCCCGUAAAGGCGGGGAAAAAUUCGGAACACCGGAGCUAAUACCGGAAAAUAAAUUGAACCGCAUGAUUUACUAGAAAAAGGCGGUUUUGCUAUCACUAGUAGAUCGUUCGUCGCCGCAUGUCCUAGUUGGUAAGGUAACGGAUUACCAAGGCAACGCUGCGUAGCCGACCGGAGAGGGUGAUCGGCCACACUGGAACUGAGACACGGUCCAGACUCCUACGGGAGGCAGCAGUAGGGAAUCUUCCGCAAUGGGCGAAAGCCUGACGGAGCAACGCCGCGUGAGUGAUGAAGGUCUUCGGUUCGUAAACCUCUGUUAUUAGGGAAGAACAAAUGUGUAAGUAAAUAUGCACGUCUUGACGGUACCUAACCAGAAAGCCACGGCUAACUACGUG
rnacentral:rRNA from 1 species